rnacentral:rRNA from 1 species
AUUGAACGCUGGCGGCAUGCCUUACACAUGCAAGUCGAACGGCAGCGCGGGGCAACCUGGCGGCGAGUGGCGAACGGGUGAGUAAAAUAUCGGAACAUACCCUAGAGUGGGGGAUAACGUAGCGAAAGUUACGCUAAUACCGCAUACGCACUAAGGUGGAAAGUGGGGGAUCUUCGGACCUCAUGCUCAUGGAGUGGCCGAUAUCUGAUUAGCUAGUUGGUGAGGUAAAGGCUCACCAAGGCGACGAUCAGUAGCUGGUUUGAGAGAACGACCAGCCACACUGGAACUGAGACACGGUCCAGACUCCUACGGGAGGCAGCAGUGGGAAUUUUGGACAAUGGGGGCAACCCUGAUCCAGCAAUGCCGCGUGAGUGAAGAAGGCCUCGGUGUAAG